GACGGAGGGUGCAAGCGUUGUUCGGAUUUACUGGGCGUAAAGCGUACGUAGGCGGUUGAUCAAGUCCUGUGUUAAAUGUUAAGGCUCAACCUUAAAAAUGCACCGGAUACUGGUUGACUAGAGGGCAGUAGAGGAGUGUGGAAUUCCCAGUGUAGCGGUGAAAUGCGUAGAUAUUGGGAGGAACAUCAGUUGCGAAGGCGACACUCUGGGCUGUUCCUGACGCUGAGGUACGAAAGCGUGGGGAGCAAACGGG
rnacentral:ncRNA from 2 species